AGACCCAUUUUCUUCCUUCUCUCCUCCGCUUCUCGCCCUCUCUCCUUUCCUCCUUUCCUUCUUCUGAUUGGCCAAUCAGCUUCUCUCUCUUCUCCCCAUUCGCCCAGCUCUCUCCCUUUUUCUCCCGGAGCUCCUGCUCUCUCUUCCUCUGGUUAGGCAGCUUGCCCAAUCCCUUUUUCUUCUUCUUCACCAGUCACACACACAAAACCUUUCUACAUCUUUUUAUUUUUAUUUUCCUUCACUUACAUCCGAGCCAUCCAUUUCAGAUUUCCUUUCAUCUGGGCCAUCCAAAUUUUAAUAAUAAAAUUCAUAAAAUGCCCAAACUUCAAACUUUAAAAUCUUUUUCGUUAUAACUUCAAAUCACGAACCGUCUGCGUCCACGCUUCCGUAGCGACGAGUACUACGAGGAUAUGUUAAGAAAACAAAUCUUAGAUGGCACGACAUAACAAUUAACCUCGAAUAAUGCGCGUGCCGAAAAAGGCAUUUUUGUAAAAUCCUUUAUUAAAACUUUAAAAACUCUUAAAAUCAGGGACAGGCUGUCACAAUUAUCCCUAUUUCUUUUUCUUUAUUUAAAUAGAACAGAAAUGAUACCUAAUUUGAGUUUUUUUGUAUUCUCCUUUUAUUGAAAUGAGCCAAAUAUAAUUUGAGCGAUCCACUAGUUCUUAAUCUAACAUAAGUACGCUCAGUAAAAAUGUGAAGCAAAGUAAACUUAAUAAUUUGUUAGAAUAAAGAAGGUUAAUAACGUAUAAGAGAUAGCUGAAGACGUAGUUUUUUUAUAUAAAAAAGUGUUAAGUACGGAUUACCUAACGGUAAACAAUAAUUCUAAAUUGGUCUCAACCUUUUAAACAUUCCAAAUAACAACAUAACAUUUUGAAAAUUGGACAUUGAUUAGGUCUCCAACAUUAAUGAUGAUCUAGACAAGUAUUGAAGCAGAGUUCACUCUCAUGUCAUCUAUAGAGUUUUAGAUCCUUAAACCGAUCCUUUUUAACUAGACUUUUAUUGUGUUUAUCUUGCCUAAAAGGGGUCUAUUUGGGAAUUCAAAACUCCAAAAAUGAUGUGUUAGUGAAAAUCAACAUCAAUAUUUGUCAUUGUCAUCACUUAAUUUUAAGGACAUUAUCAAUUCACGGUAAUGACAUCAUUACUUAACGAAUGCGAUCUAAUGAGUGUCAUUUUUUUUAAACGUUAAGUAAUUAUUUGGAAUGUUUUAAAAGGUUGGAACUAAUUUGGAAUCGCCUUAAACACUGGGUUUGGAUGACUAAAUUUAAGAUUACUUAGGAAUUUUGAAAGGCUUUUUAUAUUAGCACCCCACAAAAUGUUGAUUGCACCCCAUAUAAAAUUUAAUAUUAAAUGACUUAUUUACUCCACUAUCCAACGACAAUUUUGACCUUAUUAGGUUUUAAAAAAAAUAAAAAUUUAUAAAUACACCCCAAAUCACUUUUAACGUAUUAUUUAUUUUCUCAACUAUCAAAACCCUCUCAUCUUCCAUUGUUGAAUUAAACUCUAACCAAUGAAACUACAAACAUGUUGAUUGAGAAAAAUUGUUUUUGACGAAUGGAAUACAAAAUCAAUGUUUCUGAAGCUUUACAUGAGAUAAGACUUCACAUUUUUCAUUGUUUUAGUGAUUUCGAUGACAUCAAUAAUUAUUUAAUCUUGCAUUUGCUGCAUUAUUUAAACUUCUAUAUUAUAUUCAUCUUUUAGGGUUCAUAUUAAUCUUGCGUACCCAGUAACAUGAGUCGUAUUAGUGCUAGAGUCAUAUACUACUUUUACAAAUUGACGAUAGCCAUUCUCCACAUGAACUCCUACUCUUAAUCUUUAGCCGUUUGAUUGACAUACGUUUCUCAUCGUGAGUUUUUCUUUCUUUUUUCUUCUUCUUUUCUUGUCACUGGGAGAUGAUCUGUGGAAAAUGAGGAGAGACAUGGCCUAUAUUUAAAGAAAUCUGAGACCGAUUUAGUUUUGAUUUAUUAAUUAACUUCUACACCUGGAUCAUUAGCAAAGAGAGGGUCUUUAUUUAUUUUGUUCAAGACUAAGUCUAAAGACUUGUGAAAUAUAUAUAGAAGCAUUAUCUGUUAGCAUUAACGAGAGAGUCUUUUUUUUUUUUUUUUACUCGGAAAGGCUCAGCACCACGGGUCAUUUUUAAGGCUUUUUAGAAGUUGAAUAAGAUGAUUUCAAACUAUACUAAGAUGAUUUCAAAUCAUCAUUUUGAAAUCAUUCGGUAAACUAAACGUUCAGAUGAUUUGAAAUAUUUCGACAAAUUAAAUGUUCAAAUGGUUAGAUUCAAUCCCUGAAAAUUAAAAAUGAGUGUUAUAAGAUUUGAAAAAUGUGGGGUGUAAAGAAAAUGUGGGGUGUAUGUACAAAAUAUAAGAUGUAUAUUGAGAAUGUGGGGUGUGGGGAUUGUUGGAGAUAUGCCUUGAAAGUCAAUCUUUGGAAGAAACCUUUCAGGACAAUGUCUAUAUGUAUGGAAAACUCUAAUACAUCAAAAGGCAAAGUCACUCAUUAGGACUAUCUCAAUAAAUGAUAUACGUCCUAAAGAGUGAACAAUGGAUCGAUGGAAGAAGUAAUCUAAUGAUGUUAGACUGUAGAGACCUUCUUCACAUAACCAUGAUGUCCAAAAAGGUUCCUGGUCAUAGGAUUGUCGGAAGGACACUGACAAUACAUAGACCAGUACAUACUAUGUCCCCUUCCAAUGGGAAGGAUGGAAAGUUUCAUGCCAUUCGUGUAGUGACACUAAGACAAGUAUGUAGGUGCUCAUUAUGGGAAUGAGUUCACUGAAAACAAUCAAACGAGAGUACUUGCAUGGAGGUCUACUCACAUGUCAAGCAAGUAAUUCUACUGGUUGGAAUAAUGUAAAUAAUCCUUUGACCUGAGACAUCAUAGUUGUCUUGGGGAUACGUUGCUGAUCAUUUGAUAAUGAGACGUGACCACAUCUCAUCUUGGAUGUGUUCUAUGCAUUGUUGGGGUCAGUGAUUUAUUCUCAAAGGCAUGUGAAUGAUCAACAAGGGAUCUCUAAUCCUCGUUAUGAGAGGAUGAAUACUCUAAGAUAUGAUUCAGGAAUCUUCGGCCGAAGUAUCGAGCGCAAUGAUGGAAAGCGUUCCUAUACGACUCAAUAGAAUCAUAUAACUUGAUAUAAUCACAUUAAGGGUUUGACAUUAAAUAUCCAUACGCUAGUAAUGUGAUUGUGAGUAUUGUAUUAGAGAAGGAUCGAAUUACAUUGUAAUUCCAACUGAAUAGGUUCUCCGAACAAAUUCUACAUUAGCUUGGGUAGCCAUGAUAUAUGGUUAGAUGUCACUCGUGGCUUGUGAGUUCUUCUAGAUGAUUAAAUAAGUAUCCAUCAAAGAAGAAGGAGAAUUAAAAGUAUGUUUUAAUUCACUAAGUGAUUGGAUAAAUAAUAAUCAAUUGGAUUGAUACCAAUCACCUCACUACCUUGCUAAUUAGAACCUAAAAUGAUUAUACACCGAAACACUCUUGUGGUGAGACAACUAAAGGAUGAUGGAAUUAAUUAAUUGGAUUAACUAAGUGUUAUGAUUAAUUAGAAAGUCUAAAGAAAUCAUAUAAACAAUAAAAGAUCGUUUAGGACUUAAAGAAAAGUUCGGGUUCAUUCGGGCCCAUUGGGCCCAAACGAAUUGGGUCCUUUUAUUCAAGCAUAGAAUGACUUGAGAUGAUGAAAGCCCGAAGUCCAAACCCACACUAAGGGGGCCGGCCAAUACAAGUGAAAGGAGAGAGAGGGAGUCAUGUGGUUGACUCACUUCUUUGACAUUUAUAAAGGAAGUUUAGUGAAAAAGUUUCAUUAGGGUUUUUGUGUGUUCUUUUUCACAAAAGAGAAAAACAAGUCUCUCUCUCUACACACAAAUAGCCAGCCACCAAAGGGGAUUUUAGCUAAUCAUCUUCUCUCCCUUUGGUUAUUCCAUUAUCCAUCUCACUACACUGGUGGGUGUGGAUCUUUAGAGGUCUUCUACUUUGGAGACUAAAGGAGAAAGGAGCUCUAAAUCUUUCAAGAUGGAGGAAGCUAGGAGGGAGGCUCGACUCAAGGAGUUCCAAGAACAAAGAGCUUGGAGGUGGUCCAUCCUUGGUCUCAAGUCUAGAUCAAGAGGUAUAAAACUAUACAUUCACUUUGUUCUUCAAUAUUUUCUUAGAUGCAUCAUAUAUGAACCUAUGCUUCUUGAAGGGGAUUUGCAUGACUAUAGCUUUGAUAUUAUGUGAUAACAUGCUUCCGUUGCAAAUGUAUAUAAAUUUUGAAUUGUAUAUGCAUGCUAGUCACUAGAAAUCCCACAUAAAUCUCAUUAUUUCCCUUCAGGGGUAUUAUGGGAAAGUAUGUGGGGUGUAUUAAGAUAAUUUUUAAGUGAAAAAAUAAAUAUGGGGUGUAUUAAGUAUGUGGGGUUUAUUCAACAAUCUGUGAGGUGUUUGUUAAUAUAAUUAGCCUUUUAAAAUGAUAGAAAUUCAAAUGGCGAAAGGAACAAUGAAAUUUAAAUACGAAAUUUAAUGUAUACGUAGAAUCCUUAAAAUAAAUGAGAGAUUGUAUUUAGGAGAUGUGCUAGUAAUGACGGUGGUAAUGGUAUGUGAUGGUGGCAUUGCAAGUUGCACCUAACUCUAGCUAAAGUGAACCAUGUUAAUGUCGAAUUAUAUAUAUUGUAUAGGAUGUAUAAUGGUAAACACAAUAAAUUUUUUAACGAUUAUAUGAUAUUGAUACAAAAUCUUAAGAUGUUGUAUGAAAUUAAAAAACAUUAAAAGACGUAUGUGAAUUUAAAGUGGAGUGAAAUGUAAAAGGAUAAAAUAUAAUUUACCGUAAAACAAAACUAUGAAAAACAAGCAUUGUGGGUGUGAAAAGAGCAAAAGCACCAUCUGCAAGAAUUGGUGAACUACUCACUGACCAUUUGACCAUAAUUGAAUUAUUUUUGGAAGGUUUUGCGACUUUUAUUGACCAACAUAUUAAAUAAACAAAGGUUACGUUCACUUUUAUCACGUUGUUAGAACUUAGAUGAGAGCAUAGCAAGACCCCCAAAUAAGUUGAAAUACGAGUCCAACA
rnacentral:lncRNA from 1 species